rnacentral:rRNA from 1 species
CUUGGGGAAUUAAACCUUUUCCGGAUACCCGGACUUAUACCGGAUUAUAUUUUUGACCGCAUUGGUUCGAAAGUGAAGCGGUCUUCUGGUCACUUAUAGAUGGAUCCGCGCUGCAUUAGCUAAUUUGGUAAGGUAACGGCUUACCAAGGCAACGAUGCAUACCGACCUGAGAGGGUGAUCGNCCACACUGGAACUGAGACACGGUCCAGACUCCUACGGGAGGCACAGUAGGGAAUCUUCCGCAAUGGGCGAAAGCCUGACGGAGCAACGCCGCGUGAGUGAUGAAGGUCUUCGGAUCGUAAAACUCUGUUAUUAGGGAAGAACAUAUGUGUAAGUAACUGUGCACAUCUUGACGGUACCUAAUCAGAAAGCCACGGCUAACUACGUGCCAGCAGCCGCGGUAAUACGUAGGUGGCAAGCGUUAUCCGGAAUUAUUGGGCGUAAAGCGCGCGUAGGCGGUUUUUUAAGUCUGAUGUGAAAGCCCACGGCUCAACCGUGGAGGGUCAUUGGAAACUGGAAAACUUGAGUGCAGAAGAGGAAAGUGGAAUUCCAUGUGUAGCGGUGAAAUGCGCAGAGAUAUGGAGGAACACCAGUGGCGAAGGCGACUUUCUGGUCUGUAACUGACGCUGAUGUGCGAAAGCGUGGGGAUCAAACAGGAUUAGAUACCCUGGUAGUCCACGCCGUAAACGAUGAGUGCUAAGUGUUAGGGGGUUUCCGCCCCUUAGUGCUGCAGCUAACGCAUUAAGCACUCCGACCUGGGGUGACG